CUCGCCUGAAAGCACAAAAAAAAAAAGAAAAAACGCCACUCAGUUGGUUGUCGCGAUGCAAUAUCUUGAGAGGUGCGCUGGCUGCAAAGAACACAGCAGGAACUGUCAGUCAUGUCAAAAGGCACAGGCCACGUGUAGAUGAAUCAAACAGCGUAGAUGCCAACACUGUGCAGACUUGGGGCAAAUUCCUGAGCGCGAUUUUCGGUCCAGUGUAAUGCGCCAAAAUAAGGCAGGGAAGACGAAAGGGAGGAAGAAGAAAACAAGCGUUCCGAGCAACGCAUGUGCCAAGUGGGUCAUUAGCUUGCUGCCGACACUCAGGAUGACAUCUCGCCUCUCUGGCUGGCUGGUUCAACUGACUAUUAGAAACGCUCCACUCCGAAAUAAGCAGUCAACGCUGACCUAAAGGCCAUCAUACACGGUCCUAAUUCAGAAUCUGUUUGGCUGACUACCUUCAUGCCACAGCACCGUCGGUCCUAAUGCAGUCACCCUUCAAGCCAGUUGGCAUCUGGCCUUGGAAGGUGCCCACAAGUAUACGUCAUGACGGACACUCCCGCUUGUGUGCGUGCAUGCGCUACCUUGUUGCUUGCGGAGUCGCUCCAGUUCCUUCAUGAGGUACUCCUUCUUUUUCAUGCGCUGCUCUCGCUCCUGUCUCAGGUUCUCCCGCUCCUCCAGAACCUGAAAACCAGGUCAUCGGCAAGACUCUUGGCGAUGGCAAGGGGAGAAAGCGCACCAACCUUCUGCUUCUGGCUUUCGUUGUUCUCCUGCUCUGACACCUGACAGAAAGCCGGUCCCGCUCCCUUCCCGGAGAUCCAAGGAGUCUUGACGGCACCUGAGCAACAAACCAAGGUUUAUGAGGGAAUAAGAAGUUCGGACCUGUCGUGCUGACGCGGAGUCGUGGAGCUGGUCAGCUCGUUGCCCACCGUGAUGACGAGUUUGUGGUCAACGGGAAGACGAUGGCAAGGAGACGGCGACAUCUGCAAACAAGUUUGUCAUCGCGUCCAAUAAACUAUUUUCAUUGAA